ACGGAAGGCAGCAGUGAGGAAUAUUGGUCAAUGGGCGGAAGCCUGAACCAGCCAAGUCGCGUGAAGGAUGAAGGUAUUAUGUAUUGUAAACUUCUUUAGACGUAGAGAAAUAAGGAGCUCGUGAGCUCUGAUGCUAGUAUACGUAGAAUAAGGAUCGGCUAACUCCGUGCCAGCAGCCGCGGUAAUACGGAGGAUCCGAGCGUUAUCCGGAUUUAUUGGGUUUAAAGGGUGCGCAGGCGGCCCUGUAAGUCAGCGGUAAAAUGGUGGAGCUCAACUCCAUCCCGCCGUUGAUACUGCAGGGCUUGAUUGCGGUCGAGGUUGGCGGAAUUCGCCGUGUAGCGGUGAAAUGCAUAGAUAUGGCGAAGAACUCCGAUUGCGUAGGCAGCUGACCAGGCCGUAAAUGACGCUCAUGCACGAAAGUGCGGGGAUCGAACAGGAUUAGAUACCCUGGUA
rnacentral:rRNA from 1 species